CCUACGGGAGGCAGCAGUGGGGAAUAUUGCACAAUGGGCGAAACCCUGAUCCAGCGACGCCGCGUGCAUGAAGACGUAUUUCCGUAUUUUAAACUCUAUUAACAGGGAAGAAAAUGACCGUACCUGUAUGACAUGCCCCGGCUAACUACGUGUCAGCAGCCGCGGUAACAUGGCAGGGGCAAGCGUUAUCCGGAUUUACCGGGUGUAAAGGGAGCGUAGCCGGCAGGACAAGUCUGGAGUGAAAUCUCAUGGCUUAACCCUGGAACUGCUUUGGAAACUGUGGAGCUGGAGUACGGGAGAGGCAGGCGGAAUUCGUAGUGUAGCGGUGAAAUGCUUAGAUAUGAGGAGGAACACCAGUGGCGAAGGCGGCUUGCUGGACCGUAACUGACGUUGAGGCUCGAAAGCGUGGGUAGCAAACAGGAUUAGAUACCCUUGUAGUC
rnacentral:rRNA from 1 species